rnacentral:lncRNA from 10 species
CUUUCUCAUGCUGUUCUCACGAUAGUGAAUAAGUCUCACAAGAUCUGAAGGUUAUAUAAAGAGAAGUUCCCUACACCACUUCUGUCUUUGCCUGCUGCCAUCCACGUGAUAUGUGACUUGCUGCUCCUUGCCUUCUGCCAUAAUUGUGAGGCCUCCUCAGCCACACGGAAAUGCUUAUAGGCAUAAGAGACUUGCCUUGUCUCAGAUGAAACUUUGGACUGUGGACUUUUGAGUUAAUGCUGAUAUUAGGACUCUGCUUACCCUUUGUGAAUAAGCCCAGUGAAUCUGCUGAGUGAUGAGAGAGAGAGUGGGCCAGUCACUUCAUUGCUCCAGGUGGUUAUGUUGAAGAUGUAAAUAUUCUCCCUGCUGUGAGUAUUACUGCAGCUGCCCAAAGAUGCUUUAUUUUAAAGAUGUGGAUACAGGAAGAUAAAAGCAUCAGAAACACUGCAUGGGGUUGUGUAAGCAGAAGCUGGAAGACCCUUGAAAAGAGCAUUCAUUCAAGAAAUGAAGCAUGAGAUAGGAUGGAAGGAGGGAAGAAAGACAAGCAUAUGGCAUAUCAGGUCUCUUCCAGUGCUAAAGGCUGCCUAUGAUACUCAUCUGACCUGAUUUCUCCUGCACAGUGUUGCAACUGACGAGUAGCAGACUUGCCCUUGCCUGCAUUUGGGGGGAUGGCUGAGACUUUCCUUACAGAAAGCCCUACUUUCAGCAUGAACACUAACCCAGUUUAUUGGCUCAGGGUGUAGAGAGUUGCCUUGUCACUGGCGAAGUCAGAUGCAGCCAGUACCAGAGCUCUGCACUAGCUGUGAACACUAAGGAAGAAUAGCUGAGUGAGGAAGCAGAGUGCCAGGCAGCACAUCCUUCUUCAGGUGUUUCCUGCCCUGGGCCAGAUCCCAGGCACUGCAGCAAUAUCUCUGCAUGAUCUAGGGCUCCUGGAAAUAGCCCAUUAAGGGCAAAACUCGCUGCCCAGAAAACAUUAGAACAUUAAAAGAGCAGGGUCUCAUCUGAUUGUCUUGGUUUCCUGAGGCUCAUUCAGUCUGUGUCCACUGGUUUCAGUCUGAGUUCUCUGCACUUUGAGGAUGCAGACAGUGAAGUUCUCCCAUGGUUAUAGGGGGAGAGAUCAUAGGAAUGCUAUGGAAAGAGGCCUGAAGUCAGAGCCAGCUAGUGGUUAUUAUUUAUUAAUUGCCUGUGAGGUGCCAGGCGCACAUAUUAGACCAUAUGUGAUUGCAGUGAGCCACCCGGAUCCCCUUCAAGCUGCUGCUGCAGCUGAUGGAAGUCCUAUUGGCAGACAGCCUUCUCUCAUCAGCCCCUUCAGGACUUGCCUCAGUUGCAGAGAGCUGCCUUCCCCAAGAUCACACCCUUCCCUGGGGACUCACAACCAAUGGCUGAUCCAGAAGAAUCCAUAAAGCCCGUAUCAUUUCAGCCCAAUUUAGGACAGCUUUGUUGAGCCAUUAGACCUACAUGCAGCCCAACCUCUCCUUCUACCCACUUCUUCUUUCUUCCCUUUCCUUCCACGGUGUCUGUUCCAAGCACUUGCCUUAAUAAACAUGUAACAGGUUAAACUCUGUCUCGAUGUCUGCUUCAAGGAGAACCCAACCUGUGACAGUGAUAACAGAUAAAAACAAAGGACAUCACUUUUCCCUGCCUUACUUUCCAUUUACCACUAAAAAGGGUCUUGGACUUGCCCACUCAGUUUCUUCUCUUUCUUCACUCUUUGGAGAUGGUCCCUCCACUACCACAGACACAAAAAAGAAGAGUUGGGAAGAGAGAGGGGUGAAAACAUUUGGGGCACUGCAGGCCUAGUGCUAGGUGACUGAAGACUACCUGGAGGGUGCAGGAAGUGACUGUUUCUCCAUCAUGUAUUGUAUUGCUAUAGUGACUUAAAAAACAAGUAGGUGAUUUGUGUUUUUUUGGUUUUUUUUUGUUUUUUUGGUUUUUUUUUUGAGACAGAGUCUCGCUCUGUCACCCAGGCUGGAGUGCAGUGGCGCUAUCUUGGCUCACUGCAAGCUCCACCUCCUGGGUUCAC